CUUUCGUCUCAACCGAAGAAGUGCAUCGCAAGCUGGGAAACUUGAGUGCAGAAGAGGACAGCGAAAGUCCAGGUGUCCCGCUGAACUGCGCAGAUAUAUGGAACAACACCAGUGGCCAAGGCGUCUGUCCGUUCUGUCCCAGACGAGGCAGCCUCGAAAGUCUGCAUAGCCAACCCAAUCAGAUACCCUCGUAGCCCAUGCUGUAACCGAUGUAUGCUCAGUGUUGGAGGGUUUCCGCCGUUCAGUGCUGCAGCUAACGCAUUAAGCAUUCCGCUUGGGGAGUACGGCCGCAAGGCUGAAACUCAAAGGAAUUGACGGGGGCCCGCACAAGCGGUGGAGCAUGUGGUUUAAUUCGAAGCUACGCGAAGAACCUUACCAGGUCUUGACAUACUAUGCAAAUCUAAGAGAUUAGACGUUCCCUUCGGGGACAUGGAUACAGGUGGUGCAUGGUUGUCGUCAGCUAGUGUCGUGAGAUGUUGGGUUAAGUCCCGCAACGAGCGCAACCCUUAUUAUCAGUUGCCAGCAUUAAGUUGGGCACUCUGGUGAGACUGCCGGUGACAAACCGGAGGAAGGUGGGGAUGACGUCAAAUCAUCAUGCCCCUUAUGACCUGGGCUACACACGUGCUACAAUGGAUGGUACAACGAGUUGCGAACUCCCGAGAGUAAGCUAAUCUCUUAAAGCCAUUCUCAGUUCGGAUUGUAGGCUGCAACUCGCCUACAUGAAGUCGGAAUCGCUAGUAAUCGCGGAUCAGCAUGCCGCGGUGAAUACGUUCCAGGGCCUUGUACACGCCGCCCGUCACACCAUGAUAGUGGGUAACCCCCA
rnacentral:rRNA from 2 species